UUGUUUCAGAAAUAGUGAGUAAACUGGAUAGAGGAGAUAUUCCUGAGGAUAUGAAACCAGCCCACUUCAUCAAAUUCCAGUUUUCAUCAGUACCUCUCAGGCUUAUGAAGAGAGAAGAAGUGGAGAUGAAUAUUACAGACCUGAAAAGGAAGGUUGAAUCUGUAGCACCAGGCUGCGGUGUCAUUAUCUACGCAGGUGAUUUAAAAUGGACUAUUGACACUGGUUCUGGUGAGAGAGAUCUUAAAGAAACCUCUGGUUAUAAUCCAGUUGAUCAUUUAGUUGCAGAGAUGGGAAAAUUGAUUUCUUGGUUCAACAAUUCAAGUACAAGGGUUUGGUUAAUGGCUAUUGCAAAUUAUCAGACCUAUAUGAAAUGCCAAAUGAAGCAACCCCCACUUGAUCUUCAGUGGGAUCUUCAACCAGUUUCUUUUCCAUCUGGUGGAUUAGGGUUGAGUCUCAAUGCUGCUACAAGGUGAGCAAAUCCAAUUUUCAUUUUCUUGAUUGUUAAUUAAUUAUUCUAAAUGUGAUUUAUUAAAGAUUUUCAUUUGCAUCCUUUUGAUUUUGAUUUUAUUUUUAUUUAAAAAAAAAAAUUGGUUUUCUGAACUCUGUGGACAAGACCAGUGCAUGACAGUGAAAAGUAAUAUGCUAACCUCUAUUACUUUCUUGCUUUGUUUUGUCUCUACAUGCUGAUAGUGUUGGCUAUUAGUUUGACAAUACAUUUUGUUAACAAAUUAAACUCUUUCUUUACCCAAAAUUAAAUAUAUAUGAAGACACAAAGAAUAAUGGGCCCCUUCGGUUCCAAUUUGCAUGAAAACCCAAAAACUAAAAUGGAUAAUUGUUCAACGAAAUUAAAUAUACACGUUUAUAUAUAAUCGUGUCUCGAAUAAAGAUGAUGUGAGAUUGUUCGGGCCCUUUUGGCUGGGAUUUUGAAGAGUCAAAAGUUGAUUCUCCGAUUAACUUUCAAACAUGUUCGAAUACCUUUGAAAAAUUGACUACAAGAGGUAGAAUUCUUGCCAAACGAACCUCCUUUUUCUAGCUGUAGCUUCUUCAAAAUAACUUCUGUUAGAUUUAAUUAUAACUUAAAAGCAAUCUUUUAUAUUUAUUCUCUUCGAAUUAAACGACACUCUUUUGUUUAGGGGAGCCUAAGGUGUGUAUGUACAUUACCAGUCAUAAUUAGAAAGUUAUUUGGAAGGGUAUAAAAUAAAAGGAGAGAAAAGCAUAAAAAAUAUAUAUACAAAGUAGUACUAUGAAGAAGAUAACAAUAUUAUAGGUCUGUCUAGGCAGUAAACAACCCCACAACCCCACCCCACCCUACAUCACCCCACUAAUCAACUUCAUUAUUUAUAUGUCUAUCUGAGGCGGAAUGAUAUUAUUUGAAAAUCUCGUCCAUUUUGUAAACGCUUGAUACUGCCUCUUAUAAUAUAAACAAGAAACCAGAACAAGGUUUCUUGAAAAUCUCAAGAAACUAUACAGGGUUAUUAGUGAAGAAGAAAGGUAGAAAAUUUGUGGGGUUGGAUUAUAAUUUAAGGGGGAAGAGAAGGGUAUAAGUAAAAGAAAGAAAAUUUAGUCGAGUUUGCGAAGAUAAGGAGUUUCCAAUUCUUGUGGGGGUUUUGGGGGUGGCGUGUGGGCUAAGUUAUGCGUGCAGGAGCUUGUGCAUUGCAACAGACCCUCUCAUUGGAGGCUGCUUCAGUCUUGAAGCACUCUCUCAGCCUGGCACGGCGGCGGGGCCACGCUCAGGUGACUCCUCUUCAUGUCGCCGCCACCUUGCUGAGCUCAAGAGUCAGUCUUCUCAGGCGGGCCUGCCUCAAAUCUCAACCUCAUCAAAUUUCUCAUCCUCUUCAAUGCAGAGCCCUUGAGCUUUGCUUCAACGUGGCCCUCAACCGCCUUCCGGCCACUCCUGGUCCGCUCCUCCACGGCCAGCCAUCGCUUUCGAAUGCACUGAUUGCUGCACUCAAAAGGGCACAGGCGCAUCAAAGGAGGGGUUGUAUAGAGCAACAACAACAGCAACCACUUAUAGCCAUUAAAGUAGAAUUGGAACAGCUAAUUUUGUCAAUCUUGGAUGACCCUAGUGUAAGCCGUGUUAUGAGAGAAGCUGGUUUCUCCAGCACUGCAGUGAAAACCAAUUUAGAGGACUCAUCAGUUUCUUCUGUUUUCCAGUGUUACAACACCUCUGGUGGGAUCUAUUCAACACCAAGCUCUCCUCCAACUGAAACUCAUAGGGAACUCAUCAACCCUACCAGUUUCUUGCAUUCGCACUUUCUUUCUUACUCUCCUGACCAAAACCCUCUUUUCCUUUCCCCACAAAAGAAACCUCUGAGCAACUAUUUCUCCGAUGCAUCCCAACCGUCUUUGAAGGACGACGUAAAGGUCGUUCUUGAUGUUUUCCUGAGGAAGAAAAGGAGAAACGCAGUUAUAAUUGGUGAUUCUUUAUCCAUAACUGAAGGUCUUGUUUCAGAAAUAGUGAGUAAACUGGAUAGAGGAGAUAUUCCUGAGGAUAUGAAACCAGCCCACUUCAUCAAAUUCCAGUUUUCAUCAGUACCUCUCAGGCUUAUGAAGAGAGAAGAAGUGGAGAUGAAUAUUACAGACCUGAAAAGGAAGGUUGAAUCUGUAGCACCAGGCUGCGGUGUCAUUAUCUACACAGGUGAUUUAAAAUGGACUAUUGACACUGGUUCUGGUGA
rnacentral:lncRNA from 1 species